UCUACAUAUGUGCUUGGUCUUUUCCGCGCACAACCAGUGGGUGCUAGCGGACAGGCCAGGCAGCGUUAGUCAGAUGGAGUCUAUUGGGUUCUAACAAAAAAACCCAUAGCUAAUUACAGAUGCACCCCCCCGCCACCAUCCCAUGGGCAGCAUGAUGUACUGGAAAGAAUAUGAAAUUCUGGGAUUAG